ensembl:lncRNA
GUCCUAGAUCAGCUGGAUUCCUCUGAAAUGUCAAGCACAGCUUUUGUAUUUGCUUGUAUUAGAAUCACAGAUUCUUUUGAGUAGGAAGGGACCUUAAAGGGCCAUCUGGUCCAACUCCCCCGUGAUGAAUGGGGACACCCAGCUCUAUCGGGUGCUCAGAGCCACAUCCAGCCUGACCUUGAAUAUCUCCAGGACAGGGCCACCACAUCAUCUCUGGGCAACCUGUGCCAGUGCCUCAGCACUCCUAUUGUAAAAAACUUCCUUCUUAUAUCCAAUCUAAAUCUCCCCUCUUUUAUGAAACUAUUUCCCCUUGUCCUAUCCUAACAGACCCUGCUAAAGAGACUGUUCUCUCCUUACAGCUCCCCUUUAGAUACUGACAGGCCGCUCUCAGGUCACCCUGCAGCCUUCCCUUCUCCAUGCUGCACAGCCCCAGCUCUCUCAGCCUGUCCUGUAGGAGAGGUGUUUCAUCCUGGGAUCAUUUUUGUGGCCCUCCUCUGGACAUGCUCUGAAAGCUCCAUGUCUCUCCUGUACUGAAGGCUCCAUGUCUGGAUGCAGUGCUCCAGGUGAGGCCUCACAGUGCAGAGCAGAGGGGCAGGAUCACCUCCCUGACUCCUCCUGUGAGGCAGGACCUGCCCUUGGGGAAGCUCUGCUGGUUAUCCCACAUCACCUCCCUCUUGUGGUUUAACCUGGCAGGUGGCUGAGCACUGCACAGUCAGUUGCCCAGUCCCCAUCUUCCCAGUGGAAUGAGGAGGAGAAUCGGGAAAAAACACAAAGUACAACUCAUGGAUUGAGAUAAAACUAUUUACUGAGGUAAUGAAAAAGAUAAUGAUUAUGACAUAUGGAAUAUCCCUUUAGCCAGUUUAAGUCAGCUGUCCUCACUCUGUUCCCUCCCAGCUCCUUGGGCCCUUUGCUGAGAACAGCCUUGGCUCUGUCCAACACUGCUUAGCAGCCGCUGUGAACAUCCGUGUGUUACCAACGUUGUUUCUCUCCUAGAACCAAAACAGCAUCAUGGCGGCACUCUGAGGAAAACAGUUCCACCCCAGCUGAAAUGAAGACUCCUCUCCUCCAUGUUCCUUAGCAUAGCUUUCAGGAGGAUCUCCUCCAUGAUCUUCCCUAGCACAGAGGUGAGGCUGACAGGUCGGCAGUUCCCUGGGUUGUCCUUUCUAUCCUUCUUAAAAAUGGGUGCGACAUUGCCUUUUUUCCAGCCAUCAGGAACUUCACCUGCCUGCCAUUACUCUUCAAAUAUCAUCAAGCCAAUUCCCUCGGGACUCUGGGAUGCAUCUCACGGGGACCCAUAGACUUACAGAUGUUCAGGUUCCUCAGGUGUCAGAGAACCUGAUCUUUGCUUACAGUGGGAGGGGCACUGCUCCCCCAGUUCUCACCUUCCGAACUGAACAAGCCUUUCUUGUUCUUCUUUGCUAAAGUCCAGUUCCAGCUGGGUCUUGACCUGUCUGAUCCCAUCCCUACACAGCCCAGAAGCAUCCCUAUACUCCUCCCAGAACACCUGUUCCUGCUUCCACUCGGUGACAUCCUGCUGUCUGACAAAGAUUCGCAGUGGUUAGUCACUGGAUAUCUCAGUGUGACAUUAGUAUAAACAAGCAAUUGGAAACAUUGCUAAAAUCAGUCUUCAGUCUGGUAUCAAGCACAGAAUAAAGGAAACUGUAUUGAAAAUCAAAAUAAAACAUCAGGAGUCCAUGUUGAGGUUUGAUCUCCUCUAGCACCUAAGAUAUGGUUUACUUUUCCAACCACUCCAAAGCCCUAGUCUGCAUCGAUGCGGAUAGGAAUGGACAGUGACCUUCAGUCAGUUAUGCCAGGGUUCCUGCAGGCUUCAGUGCAGCAGACGAGAGGUCAGUGAACUCUUUCAGUGGGCUAAGGGCAGGCUCCUGUUUGCAUUUGCCUACAAGAAUGCAGAGAGAGGAAACCUGAAAUGCGUCUCUCCAGUUCACUGGCUAGAGAUGAAAAUACAAACUGUAAAAUGCUUUUAUUCUCCACAAGCACAGAGGUUUGGGGUGUCACAGUGACUGCAGAUUGUCACUGCUGGCCCCAUGGGAAGCAGAGCUCUGCUCCUGGGGCUGCUCCGACACACCGUGAUGAAUCCCAGGGGAGACCUGGGGAUGCCCGCUAGGGUCUGGCCUGCGGGAGGAAGAUGCAGGGUUUGGAGGGGGGUGAUGGUUGGGCGUGUGGUCUGGGUGAGCACAGGGAUAAGCAGCAGAGGGGACAGCCACAACAUGGGGUUUUCUGAAGUUCUCACCUUUUUGCACAGUGGUUUGCAGCAGAAGGGCCAAGGGAAGAGUAGAUCUCACUCUUACCUCCACUCAGACCUUCCCGGCUCUAAGAAACACACUGCUCCAAACGAACGCUGCUGCAGUGCUCGGUGUUUAACUCCCCAUGCAGCACAGAACUACUGUCAUUGUCUUCAAGGGGCCUCACCUCGCUCACACCUGGCUCGGGAGAGCCUUGCGCCGCAGCCGAUGCCUCGGCGGCACCGCUGUCGGACGGGAGGAAGCAUCUGGCCGGGCUAGCGCCGCGCGGUGCCUCGGCACGAGGCCACCCAUCUAUCGCCGCUCUCGAACUGAGGCCGACGGCGUGUGCGUGCGUGGCCGUGGGUCGCGCCCCGCCGUGAGCCCGCAGCCGGAGGCGCG